GAUUGGAUCUGAUUGGAUCUGAGCUCUCUCGUUCUGCUUCCUCCCUCCUCAAGGCGUCAUGACGGCGUCGACACCGCGGAUCACAACGGAGUCCAUCAAACAUACAGUCUAUCAGGUUUUUCCUUUGUCCCAAAAAUCCUCCUCCUCGUAGAUGUGCAGCGCAGCGCCCCCUUUCCAUCGUAGAACUACCACGCCGCCGGCCGCCGUGCAGCACUCCUCGGUCUCGCCUCCGGCAUGGCCACCGGGAUGCAAUAGCCCGCCUCGCCUUCGUACUACAACAACCCCCGAGAUGCAACAUGCUCCCUCGCCGCCGCCGCCGGCGGUGCACACGCCGAGCUGGGAGACGGUCGACCUGCUGUCCUCGAUGCCGUCCACGGCCUCGGCCACGACGACCACAGCCAUGACCGGCGGCCGCGACCACAACCACGACUCCAGUAUUUCUGUAUUUUGGAGUGUUAUGCGUAGUCUGAUGGUGCCUAGUCUAAUGGUGGAAGUGUGUGUGCUAGUACUGUUCCGGAAUGUGCCUGUGUUGUUCUUACCAAGUUUUCUGAAGCAUACCACAUUCAGGCUAGACUGAAGCAUACUGCCACAUUCAGCUUAUUUAACCAUGGUAGUAGACUACUAGUAGUUUGCUUACCACAUUCAGGCUAGAUUACUGCAUCUGGAUGCAUUGGGAGUAGCCUUGUCAGGAUGGGCUCUAAUUGGUGUGUCAUGUCUAUGCUUCACAGCUUCAGUAUAGACUUGAUUAUAUGUGCUCUGCUUUGAUCUUUAACGCCUAGCUUUUAAUUUCUAAAUCAAAAUCAUAGACAUAUGCUAUGCUAAAAGACUUCUGUUUUCCACGCUCGUGUUCUGCACGGUAUAACACAAUUUGAUUUCAUUUAAUCUUUUAAGCCUUUCUGCAAGGUACACAACAUGCUCGCUACAGAGGAAAGAGAUGAUGCACAUUACUCCUUUCUGCAAGUAAAAAAAGGAUAUGUUCUCAUAACAAGGAUGGAAAGUAUAACAGCUUACAAAAACCAAUAUGGACAACACAGAUCUGGAACUCAAGAACAACCUGGUACUAGCUGCUAAUGACAUGUGUGCACUGGACGAAUGGCCAUCCCAUGCUCGCCGCAACCGUGCACAACUAUAGAAUGAAAGUGAUGGACAAAAGAAGAAAGGGCGAGGUGUACUUUUGGUAUUAAGGACAAAGCAUUUAAAGAGGUUCGAAACAAAGAAAAUGAAACUGAAGGUCCAGUUUCCAGUGAACAUAGAAGCAAUAUUUUCCAGACCGCAUAGAAAGACACUCCGCAAUGCAACUCAUCACAGCCUCAUGGGUAUGGAUACAUGGCCAAACCACCAAGUGGUUCCGAAAAGGAUUAAAUCACAAUUUGAAGAGUAAGCACGUGCUACAACAGAGAUCCAAAAGAUAAACUCUGAGCUCAGCCAUCAGGUCACCAAAUUACAAGAUCAAUUACAAGCUGAACGUGAAAGCACACAAGAGAGGAUUAACUUGGAGCGUGCUGAGAGAAAACCUUGAGGAGAGGUUAAAAGAAGAGCGUGCUGAAACGGAAAGAUUGUUGGAAGAGGAGUGAAGAUCAACACUGGAAUUUGAGAAAAACAUGAUGGCAAAGUUUGCACAGUUGUCCCAACAGACGCAAACACAUCAGAUGAAUAAGAAAAGGACUGGCAAAGAAAAUAGUAAUCCAAACUUGCAAAAUACUCUUUUACAGACCGCUAGUACUACUGGGACUCUAGGUACAAGGCACAAUGUAAUUGCUCCCAAUACGCUCAUACAAGCUGCAACAAUUCGAAUGUUUCGAGCAAUGGAUCCAAAGAUUUAACUAGAAUGGACUCUAGACCACGGACAAUUUACUCUUCGCUCUUAAUUAGGUUGGCACAUUCAGUAUGUUGAAUGCGUGCUAAAUUAUAUUUCAGUUUCAUUUGAUGGAUAUUGGCUAUGCAAAUAUUGACAUUGUAUGAAUGUACAUCAUAUAUGUAUUAUCUGAAUCAUGUAAUUGAAUGCAUGUAUAUUUUUUUCUGGUUGCAAUA